GAGGACACUGCCGACGGGGUGAAGAUGGACGCUGGGGAGGUGACCUUAGUGAACCACAGCUCCGCCUUCAGAGCCCACCUCCUGCCACACUCAGGCUUUCCAGAGGACCAGCUUGCACUUUCUGACCAGCAGAUCCUGCCUUUCAGGCAGGGGACUCUACACCGAGCUUUCACGGGUUCUACAAGCAGUGCAGCCUAUAACCCAGACUAUCACUCAGAUAACCCUUCCUCAGACAGUUUCCUUGGCUCAGGUGACAUAAGAACCUUUGGUCAAAGUGCAAAUGGACAAUGGAGAAACUCCACUCCAGCAUCAGGAUCAGCAUUACAAAAACCAAGAAA
rnacentral:lncRNA from 1 species